rnacentral:rRNA from 1 species
AGCGAACGCUGGCGGCGUGCCUAACACAUGCAAGUCGAACGUGAAAGGUAGCAAUCCCAAGUAAAGUGGCGUACGGGUGAUUAACACGUAGGUAAUCUACCCCAGAAUCUGGAAUAACCGGCCGAAAGGCUGGCUAAUACUUGAUAGAGCGACGGAAUCCGUAAUUUGGUUUUUCGGGAAAUGGAGCCUUUAAUAAGUCCUUCGUUCUUUGUUGAGCCUGCGUCCCAUCAGCUAGUUGGUGAGGUAAAAGCUUACCAAGGCAAUGACGGGUAGCUGGUAGGAGAGGAAGAUAAGCCAAAAUGGAAAUGAAAAAAGGGACAGAAUAAUAAGGGAGGCAGCAGUGGGGAAACUUGCGAAAAGGAAGAAAGUCAGAAGAAGAAAAGACGAGUGAGUGAAGAAGGAAUUAGGGUUGUAAAGCUAUGUCGAGUGGGAAGAAAAUGAUUGGAGUUAAAAGAUACAGGAAAUGACGGUAACAAUAAAGGAAGCACCGGCUAACUCCGUG